UACGUAGGGGGCAAGCGUUGUCCGGAUUUAUUGGGCGUAAAGAGCGUGUAGGCGGUUUGGUAGGUCCGCUGUGAAAACUCGAGGCUCAACCUCGAGACGCCGGUGGAAACCAUCAGACUAGAGUCCGGAAGAGGAGAGUGGAAUUCCUGGUGUAGCGGUGAAAUGCGUAGAUAUCUGGAGGACCACCGGUGGCGAAGGCGGCAUCCUGGACCAAUUCUGACGCUGAGGAGCGAAAGCCAGGGGAGCAAACGGG
rnacentral:rRNA from 1 species